rnacentral:lncRNA from 1 species
CAUCGACAUAGACACUGGCAAUGGGACAUGAUUGCAAAACACUGGGAUCCUGUCAUCUCCUGGCUCAGCCCAAUCAACCGAGGGUGUAGGGAAGUGAACAAUUAGCACUGGACUUUAGGACAUGAGGAGUUAGUUUGCUGGUGGGUCAUCAGGUAGAUUGGGCAAAAAAGACAAGAAACAGUGCUCUAAAUGUGAC